CACAUUUAUUUAAAUUAUAAUCCCUUCACUAAAGUUGGAAAAAAAAAUAUUAUUCGCUAAUCAUUAAUUACUAAUAGUAACAUUACCAACACACUACUCUCUUCGGUUGCACACAUAGAGUAAGAGUAUUUUUUGGUAAAUAUAGAUUUUAACACCUAAAGAGUUGUUUUGCUAGAUUGAUUGUUGUUGGAGAUUUGGUAAUUCAUAAGCAGAUUUGGCCAAAGAUGACUAUUAUCUUUUGACAGAAGGGCUACGGAAUGAGGAUGAGAAGUUUGUUGAUCAAGAUGUUCUUAAAAAGCAUCUCUGGUUUAAACUUACUAAAUAAUAAAGUAUUGUAUAAUCAGCAACCCGUGGAUAUGCUUUUCUUUGAUUUUUGUUACUCGUCAGAGUUUCUGGGUUCUCUUCAGUUGCAUCCUCUGUUCUCCGCUUCUUCAAGAACGGAAUAACUACAGAAGUUGAAGAACACGCACAAAUAAAAGUAUAACCUCUCUUAUGCAAGGUAAACACUUGUGUCUCUGGGACCCUUGUGGUCAUUUUCUCCUUGCACUACCAAGGCUGCCAUAGGAAAGUCAAGAAAACAUUGUUCAACAAUUCAAUGCUGCACUCCUUCUUGAUUGAAAUUGAAAAGCUAUUCGAUGUUUCGAUAGUUGUAAUUGUUUUCUUUCCUCAAAACUCAAGAAAAGACGUUCUUGUUGAAAUUCUUGAAUGUGUAUUUUAUUUUUUUCUUUGUUCAGUUGCAUUUUAACCACAUUUAGAAAUUACAUUCUUUCUAACUUUUGUGUAAUUGGUAAAUCAUAUUUUGAUUUUUUUCUUUAUAUUUUUAUUAUUUUGUUGUUGAAGUAGUUCCUUUUAGAGAAGUGGCUUUUAUCUUCUGUGUUUUUUCUCAUUAUUUCAAUCGGAUGCAAGAAUCCGAAAAUCUAUUUGUCAUAUGGAACAGACGCGAGAAGAUGCAGUGGCAUUACCAUCGUAUAAGACUGUCUAAGGUGAUAGAUCAAUGCAAUUGAUCUAAAGAACAUGCACAAGCGAAAGCUUGAGACAGUGAGUUUGUUGCAACCAAGACCUGAAUUAUGGGAGGAGGAACAGCCUUGAUGCUGUGCUCAUGUAGUGUUUGAAAGCUUGUGUUGAGUUUUUUCGAAGAGGAUUGUGAUUGUGAAGUAACAUGUGGAAAUGGAUCAGUUCCUUGCUCUGGUGACCUUGCGUCAAUAGGAGGUAGAAAUUAAAUGAUGGGUUGUUAAUGAUGAUGUAAUCGGGCUGGAGUGAUGCAAAUAAAUGUCUUUGUUUUAAUUGAUUUUUCCUUUUUUAAUUUUACAAGUGAGAAUUGUGAUUUACGACUAUGUUUGGGAUGAAUGGUAUUUACAAAUUUAUUUUAUUUCCUAAAGAUUUAGGAAACAAUGACAUAAUAUGAUAUGGAUAAUUCUGUUAUAUCAAUGUUGGGCAUGUACUUUUAAAUACCUGUGGAAAUGGAUGUUUUCCUCGCUCUGGUGACCUUGUGUCGAUAGGAGGUGGAAAUUAAAUGAUGUGUUGUUAAUGGUUAUAUAAUCGAGUUGGAAAUUAAAUGAUGUGUUGUUAAUGGUUAUAUAAUCGGUGAGUGUGUGUAGAGUGAUGUAGACAAAUGUCUUUAUUUUAAUUGAUUUUUCUGUUAUUUUUAAAUUUUACAAGUGAGAAUUGUGAUUUGCGACCUUGUUUGGGAUGAGUGGUAUUUACAAAUUUAUUGUAUUUGUGAAAGAUUUAGGAAGCAAUGACUUAAUAUGAUAUGGAUAAUUCUGUUAUAUCAAUGGUCGCCAUGUACUUUUAAAUAGCUGUAUUCUACUAGCUGUAUUAU